ACUUUUGCAAAACAUUGGAAAAAUUCCUAAAAUUCCGGAGUUUGAGGAUACAUUUACUAAAAUUGGAUAGGAAAAUAUGUUUUCCGGAAAGUAGCAUAUUGUACCAGCUUCCAGCGCCUGAAAAGCCUGCCCAAAGUUCGAUUACUUCCAGUGCAGACUUUCCAAAUGAAAGUUAAAGAAUUUCCUUAGGAUUGCCAAGAAAUCACUCAUAAAGUUUUGAAGAAAUAUACCCAGCCACAAAACCAAACUGCACACCAACAAGCAUUCGGAUAACAUGUACUCGAUAGCCUCACGCAACAGGCUUGCCUAUGAAGAGAAGUGUGAUUAUAUUGCAUCCUUAAAAAAAACAGCAAUUGGAUAAAUAGAACAGAGUGCUGAUAUAUCGCUUCCAUCCUCGAGUUCGAUGUACGUGAUUUCA